CCAAUAGCGUAUAUUAAAGUUGUUGCAGUUAAAAAGCUCGUAGUUGAAUUUCGGGAUCAAUUUAUCGGUCGUGCCAAUGGUAUGAACUGGUACAAUUGGUUUCUCCCUUCUGACGAAGCAUGAUGUCAUUAAUUUGGUGUCGUGGGGAAUCAGGACUGUUACUUUGAAAAAAUUAGAGUGUUUAAAGCAGGCAUUAGCUUGAAUACAUUAGCAUGGAAUAAUGAAAUAGGACGUUUGAUCCUAUUUCGUUGGUUUCUAGGAUCGACGUAAUGAUUAAUAGGGAUAGUUGGGGGCAUUAGUAUUCAAUUGUCAGAGGUGAAAUUCUUGGAUUUAUUGAAGACUAACUACUGCGAAAGCAUUUGCCAAGGAUGUUUUCAUUAAUCAAGAACGAAAGUUAGGGGAUCGAAGACGAUCAGAUACCGUCGUAGUCUUAACCAUAAACUAUGCCGACUAGGGAUCGGAUGAUGUUAAUUUUUUAAUGACUCAUUCGGCGCCUUACG
rnacentral:rRNA from 1 species